rnacentral:rRNA from 1 species
GGCAACAGCUCAAAUUUGAAAUCUGGCUCCUUUCGGGGUCCGAGUUGUAAUUUGUAGAGGGUGCUUUGGCGUUGGCCAUGGUCUAAGUUCCUUGGAACAGGACGUCACAGAGGGUGAGAAUCCCGUACGUGGCCGCUGGCCUUCGCCAUGUAAAGCCCCUUCGACGAGUCGAGUUGUUUGGGAAUGCAGCUCUAAAUGGGAGGUAAAUUUCUUCUAAAGCUAAAUAUUGGCCAGAGACCGAUAGCGCACAAGUAGAGUGAUCGAAAGAUGAAAAGCACUUUGGAAAGAGAGUCAAAAAGCACGUGAAAUUGUUGAAAGGGAAGCGCUUGCAGCCAGACUUGCCCGUAGUCGCUCAUCCAGGUUUCGGCCUGGUGCACUCUUCUGCGGGCAGGCCAGCAUCAGUCCAGGCGGUCGGAUAAAGGUCUCGGGAAUGUGGCUCUCUUCGGGGAGUGUUAUAGCCUGGGGCGUAAUGCGGCCAGCUUGGACUGAGGUCCGCGCAUCUGCUAGGAUGCUGGCGUAAUGGCUGUAAGCGGCCCGUCUUGAAACACGGACCAAGGAGUCUAACAUCUAUGCGAGUGUUUGGGUGUCAAGCCCGAGCGCGCAAUGAAAGUGAACGGAGGUGGGAACCCGCAAGGGUGCACCAUCGACCGAUCCUGAUGUCUUCGGAUGGAUUUGAGUAAGAGCAUAGCUGUUGGGACCCGAAAGAUGGUGAACUAUGCCUGAAUAGGGUGAAGCCAGAGGAAACUCUGGUGGAGGCUCGCAGCGGUUCUGACGUGCAAAUCGAUCGUCAAAUUUGGGCAUAGGGGCGAAAGACUAAU